AUGGCUACAUCACGUUGAAACACCAUUUCCCAUACAAUCACCAAAGUUAAGCAAACUCGAGCCUGGUCAGUAUCUAGAUGGGUGACUAAUUGGGAAUAAAAGGUGCUGUU